UCCUACGGGAGGCAGCAGUGGGGAAUAUUGCACAAUGGGCGCAAGCCUGAUGCAGCCAUGCCGCGUGUGUGAAGAAGGCCUUCGGGUUGUAAAGCACUUUCAGUCGUGAGGAAGGUAGUGUAGUUAAUAGCUGCAUUAUUUGACGUUAGCGACAGAAGAAGCACCGGCUAACUCCGUGCCAGCAGCCGCGGUAAUACGGAGGGUGCGAGCGUUAAUCGGAAUUACUGGGCGUAAAGCGCAUGCAGGUGGUUCGUUAAGUCAGAUGUGAAAGCCCGGGGCUCAACCUCGGAACAGCAUUUGAAACUGGCGGACUAGAGUACUGUAGAGGGGGGUAGAAUUUCAGGUGUAGCGGUGAAAUGCGUAGAGAUCUGAAGGAAUACCGGUGGCGAAGGCGGCCCCCUGGACAGAUACUGACACUCAGAUGCGAAAGCGUGGGGAGCAAACAGGAUUAGAUACCCUGGUAGUCCACGCCGUAAACGAUGUCUACUUGGAGGUUGUGGCCUUGAGCCGUGGCUUUCGGAGCUAACGCGUUAAGUAGACCGCCUGGGGAGUACGGUCGCAAGAUUAAAACUCAAAUGAAUUGACGG
rnacentral:rRNA from 1 species